rnacentral:piRNA from 1 species
UGCCCAGUUGGUCAAGGUCCUAGCUACUAG